rnacentral:lncRNA from 1 species
UUUGUAUGUCAAUUCCUUUAAGUCCCAGCUCUCUCUUACUUUAAAACAAAUAAUUUAUUCUAUGUGUAUGUGUGUUUUGCCUGCUUGCAUGCCUUGUGUCCAUUGAGCUAGAAGAGACUGUCAGAUGUGUUUUGUUGUUUUGUUUGAGACAGUGUCUCUCACUGGGACCUGGGGUACUCGGAUUAAAGGAGGGUAGCUGGCUAGCCAACCCCAACCAGAUCUGCACUAGGACAGACUGUGAGCCAUUACCCCUGGCUUUCUACAGAACUUCCAGGAUCAGUCUCAGGUCCUCAGGCUUCACUGGCAAGCGUUCGGCUGAGCUGUCUUAGCCGUCCUCUCUCACUUUAUACACAGCCUUGUGCCAUUUAAUGAUGGGGUGCAUUCUGAAGAAUUUGGCAUUCUAAAGCACACGUGUGUAAGCCUAGAUGGCACUGUAUCCUACACAGUUGGGUCAUGUGGAGCUUGGGUGGGAAGAACCCGCUGCUCCUUGGCUGCUGAGUGGGACAGUGUGAGACUGAGGAAGAGCAAGGUAGUGUGCUGGGGAGAGGCACAAAGCACAAGAGGCCAGAGAGCGGCUACAGCUUACCCCAGCUGCAUUCAUUCUACAGUAAAGCCCUUUAAAAACACAAACACAAAGAACACACUAAACUAAAUGAAAGUGUCCUAUCAUAAGUGCGGUAGCAGUCAGCACAGGCAUUUAUUGCCAUGUUGCAGUACUGGGCUCUGUAUGCGUGCUCCGCACUGUCUUCCACUGACCAUGCAGUGGUGUACUCUUGCCCUCCCAGCACAACGGUGAGGGAUAUGUUAUAUCAUGAUGCCAACAGCAUAAGUAGUUGAUGUGACAUUUUCUUAGCAGUGAUGAGCAUGACACCCAGGGCUUUGCACAUGAUAAGCAGGCAUCUACCGCUGAAUUAUUCUUCCAUCCUUGGUAUUAAAUAUUGUCUGUCUGUCUGAGGAAUACUGAUGUUUUAAAAUUAAGUCACUUACUUUACACCCCAUCACAGCUCCCCUUCUCCUGCCCCUCCGUCCUAUUAUGCAUUCUUAUGAUUCUUAUGGGAGCACAUAUUGCCUAUAAUUGACCAAAGGAUUAUGUAACACAUGAGGAUUUUUUUUUGACAAGUUUGAAUCUCACUGGUCAUACUUUUUCAUCGCUGGAGGUCACUGUGAGCCCCUCAGUGCCUCUUCCUUUUCAAGGUACCCUGUUCUUUUUUUUUUUUUAGGAUGCAGCGGUUUUGGAGAAGGACAAGACCUUUUGAUGACGACUUUUUCUUUUCCCCUUAUGGUUCUUUGGUUCUGUUUUCCUUUAUUCUUGAUCACUUCCCAGCAGAUACUCUUCAAAUAAAAACCUGUUUGGGGUUUUUUUUUUUCUAUCUCUGUUUAUGAAGGAGUUCAGAAAGCUAAAAGGUAUUUUUUUUUUCUGUUAAACCAUAGGGAGGUCCAGGUUGAAGCAGGAGGGCCUCUUGCCAUGCAUAUCACUGCUCCAGCUCUGGUAUCUGGAAUGAUGAGACCUAGGGAGUUUGCCAAGGAAUUCUGUUGACAGCUGCCAUAAUCAGUACUGGAGUCCAAGCUUGUCUGCAGCCAGUUCCUGCUUCCCAGCCACUUGUAUCCCGAGUUAGCUGAGUCCCGCUUUCAGUUUGCUGAAGUCCCUUACAGACUAACGGCCGGUCUCCUGUUGUCUUGCAGACCUGGAAUGAAUACCCAUCAGGGGCCACUGAAACCUGUGGCGGAGGAGCUGGUGUGCGCUACAAUGAGAGCUCCGGUGGGGCCCAGCUGGCACACAAGCUGGAGUCCUGCAUUUUUCCAGUAUGGGAUGCAUCUCUACACUCAGUACAGACUGAGGCUGGCAGUCACACUAGAGGAGAGGCCUGGAAUUGCCCCAGCAUGCCCUACGGCACUCAGAAGCUGCCCACUCUGGUCCCUGGAGGGGCUUCUAAGCCCUCUGCCUGUUGGUUUCUUUCUGGGGUUUCAUGGUUACCAGGAUAUGAUGAUCUCAGAGGUGGGAGCCCAGGAAGGCCCUUGGAUGGCUUUGGAAUGGGGUGGCUUCAGCAAAGGCCCUGAGUAGCUGACAGUGGUGGUCGUGGUGUCUUUGUUCUAUAUUCUGAGUCUCCAGACUUGGUAAGGGCCCAGUAGAUACUCAGGAUGCUGUCCUGUUAGUACCACACAAAGGCUGCAGGCUAGGAUCCUCAGGUCACAGCUCCAAGUGCUCAGCGUGGGCUACAGUUACUGAGCAGCCGUGGAAGGACUGAGGGCACUUCAGGUGCUCAUAUGUUCUGAGACCUUAGGUGCCUACCUUAACCCGAAACCCAAUGUUCUCUGAUCACCUUACCUUUGUUGGGCUGUGCCCUAUCUGGAAGGCUGGUUUCUUUCAGACAGCCCCGAAGACGCCUCCCCCUUUUCCACGGUCCUUGUAUGCUCUUGAUCUCCAGAGAGUCCUGAGAGGUGAGGGAGUCUAGUAGGAGAGAAGAGCCCCAGGUCUGCCGUGUAGCUGGUUCCGCAUGAGCAUGAGCUGUGCUAGCAUGUUAAAUACCCUACAGAUUGGUGUGUUGGGUUGGGUGAGGGUCUGUGUGGAGCCCCGAGGCUGCACUGGGUGGGAGUGCUAGGAUGAUGCAGACUCGAAGACACACAGAGAGUGUGGGACACUAGAGUGUGCUGUGAGGAGCUAGAGUGGCCCUAGCCCCUGUUGCUAGGCAGCGCAUUUCCCUGGACACCAGUUGCCAUGGCAGCCGCUUCCUGCCCAUGUUGCCAUGACACCCAGAUGGCCUUGAGGAGCCUGAAGUGGUGACUCUAGUCUAUCUGUGUGCUAUGAUGUGGUGCUGCCAUGGAUCCUCAUCCCAGUGUAGUGUCAGUGACAGGAAGUGGACAGGAUGCACGCUGUCAUAAGACUCCUUCAGAGCCUCCAGACGGUGCUGUCUGAAGGCCUCCCUGCCCACUAUAAAGGAGGAAGAACAGCCUUGCUAGAGCUCCAUGCUCCUGGUGACUCCAACCUUUGAGGAUCUGUGUAGAUGUCAAGAUGGGAGACUGCUCUGAAAGCCACCCUUCCUCCCAUCUAGAUAGCAAAUCACCUGUCCAUGCUAUGGCCCUGACCUCCUCUCUUGCCUCUGGGGCAGGGGGGACUUCUCUCUAUGCGCCCCUGUUUAAAGCUGGUUCUGUUGAGCACAGCUGGCAAGUGAAUAGAAGUUAUCCCUGAGUCUGGAGCCUACAGCCUCUCUUCCCUCAGCCAGUGUGAGUUUACCUGCCAACACAGUGCCCACCACUGCUGCAAGCUCUCUCAACAAUCCUACAGACUCCUUCCAUCGCUAAGCACUCACUUCCUCACUCCUACCCAGUUCACCUGGCCACUCCUGAGUGGGAGCACCCUCAGCAGCCUCUCAGGCAGUGGGAGCACCCUCAGCAGCCUCUCAGGCAGUGGGAGCACCCUCAGCAGCCUCUCAGGCAGUGGGAGCACCCUCAGCAGCCUCUCAGGCAGUGGGAGCACCCUCAGCAGCCUCUCGAGCUGUGGCAGCACCCCCAGCAGUCUCUCAGCUGCCUGACUUGGAGAUAUCUGGGCCAGGUGGGCCUGGCUGCCUUUAACCAAAGGGAGGGUAUAAGAGUAAAUUCUGGUCUUGUUAUGCUGUGUGUGACCCUGUUCCACCUUCUCGGUCCCUGUUUUCUGGUCCCAUUCAUCAGCACUCAACCACAUCUUGCUCAACUGCCCUCCUUAACAUACUGCCUUCCUGCCUGCGGCUCCCACCUCUGCCUGGAUCCCCAGCCUCACUUCUUUCACAUCCCUGGCCCAUACUCCCUAGAAAGCUUUUGGGCCAGAGGCCUUGUGUUUUGGAGGGAGCAUGGGAUACAAUGGUCUUCCUGCUGCCCCCCACAACCUCACCCAACCAGGCAGCUGAGGAGCUAGCGACCCCACAACCCACCAACCCUAUGGCUGGCUGGUGGCUGCCUCACCACACAGGCUAGCCAGGAGAAGCCACCAGGCCUCCCAGCUGCAUCUUCUCACUGAAGCCUGUAUCAGAGAUAAAGGGCACUAUCAGUCCCCCGUUCGUGUGCCAGAAGCUGCUUGCAAUAUGAGAGAGAUGUUUA